UUUUUUUUUUCCAGGUUGUGUUUUUUUUUUCCUUCAUCCCAAAGAUGUUGAAAUAGACAGGUGCUAGGUUUCCCUGAACAACUAAAACAAGGAUGUGGUUAUUUUCCCCCCAGAAAAACAGAUGCAUCAGCAGAGCUCAGGCUCUGGAAAUUGUUUGCACAACUCCGCAUCCCAUCUACUAAUCCAAACUAAUGAGAUCUAUUAAAGACCAGCCCACAUGUUUGAAGGGAGUCACUUAUUAAUGUGACAUCUUUGCAUGCCAUUAUAAUACCAGGACCACCAUUUACUCAGGUUUUAGAAAACUCAAAGUCAUGGCUCGCCUGUUACCUCCCUGAGACUUCCUGCAGAAGCUUCUGGUAGCCUGGGUGCCUUUUCAGCCUUGGCACUGUUGACCUUCAGCGCCGAUCAUUCUUUGCUGUGGGCUUCUGUUCUGUGCCUGAUAGGAUGUGGAGCUGUAUUCAAGACCUCUGUCCAUUAGAUCCUAGUAGCAACCCCUCUCUCCAAGUAGGGGUAAUCCAGAAUGUCCUCAGAUAUUGCCAGACGCCCUCUGCGAGGAGGAGGGCAAAACAUGCAUUCUAGAGCCGCUUUUCCCAACUAUUGUGAGUGUACAGGAAAGGCAAAAUGAGAUUGUCUCAUUGUAUUUAAACCCUCACCCUCCGGUUUCUAGGACUCCCUGGCCUUGCA